UUAAGAGAAAAAUAUAAAUACAGAGGACUUAUAAUGGAAAUAGUCCAACAAUCACUGGAAGCGCACAUGGUGCUGAGAUUUGAGAAUUUCUUCUGGAAUCCUCUCAAAUAUCACAGUUCCCUCAUCAUCGAUUUAAUUAGCGGUAUUUUAAAACUAACGCUGAAACUGCGCCUUUGUUACUAUGAUGGAGCAGACAUUAAUAAAAUGAAACUAAAGUUAAUAUUGAGGGACGACGACUUCAACGUUGAGUUAGGUAAGCUGGAAAAUGAUAACUUAACAGAGUUAAAGAAUAUGUUAAAUGAUAUAGAAGAAAAAUUUACAGAAGCAUCAAAGCAUUGUCUGGAAUUCUGUUGACGAGUACGACUUUUAGAAUUAUAUAUAUAUAAAACGUAAUAUACGUCUGUAAAAUGUAAAUGGAACCAUUCAACUUUUAAGAAAUAAUUGUAAUGUUUUCAAAUUUAUAUAUGUAUAUGAAAUGCUAUUGUUUAUUUUAACUUGUGAUAGUACACGUGGUAGAAAUGAAAUGAGACGAGAAAUUAAAUGAGCUUCGUUCAACCUUUUUAACUGCUUAUUCAAUGAACUCCAUUGUACAUGUUUACUUGAAUAAAUUUUAAAAAUUCACGUGUACAUUGUGUAGACAUUUUUAAUGUAAAAUAAAUUUCCUACUUGUUUACUUUGAAACAAAUCCUUGACAUAAAUUAAUUAAUCUACAUCAAAUCGGAGGUGAAGUCUUUGAUGGAAAACUUCCAUCAAACACAGCAAAAGAAUGCUGUAGCAUGA